rnacentral:rRNA from 1 species
GAUGAACGCUGACGGCGUGCUUAACACAUGCAAGUCGAACGAAGCAUUAUAACGGAAGUUUUCGGAUGGAAGUUAUGAUGACUGAGUGGCGGACGGGUGAGUAACGCGUGGGUAACCUGCCUCACACAGGGGGAUAGCAGUUGGAAACGACUGGUAAUACCGCAUAAGCGCACAGUACCGCAUGGUACAGUGUGAAAAACUCCGGUGGUGUGAGAUGGACCCGCGUCUGAUUAGCUAGUUGGUGAGGUAACGGCUCACCAAGGCGACGAUCAGUAGGCGACCUGAGAGGGUGACCGGCCACAUGGGGACUGAGACACGGCCCAGACUCCUACGGGAGGCAGCAGUGGGGAAUAUUGCACAAUGGAGGAAACUCUGAUGCAGCGACGCCGCGUGAGUGAUGAAGUAUUUCGGUAUGUAAAGCUCUAUCAGCAGGGAAGAUAGUGACGGUACCUGACUAAGAAGCACCGGCUAAAUACGUGCCAGCCGCCGCCGUAACAC